CGCCGCGCCUGCGCACUAGGUCGUGCGCGGUCCUGCCGUCCGCCCCUGCGCGCUGCGGGGACGCCGCUCCGGGCUGCCGGGACGGUGUGGGCUCCUCUGGGCUCCGGAAAAGACCUUCCGCGGUGGCCGCGAGGGUCCGCGCGAGGCGGGAGAGACCGUGAGCCCAGCGGCAGUCUGCGGUCACCAGCUCUUCCCGGACAGGCCACCGCCGCCCGCCACGAUGCUGCCCUGCGGCCUUCCGCACGGUCUCCAGCAGCCUCGGCACCCCGUCCGUGUGUCCUGUGCGGACAGCGGCGCGUGCCCCACGGCCAGCGACGCGCCGGCAUCCCUGCGGCGGCCAGCCUGUGGGCCAGGAGGGCAUCCCUGCGCAGAGCUCCCCUCGGCGGGGCCCAACGGGCCAGGCCUGCAGAGCAAGUAAGGCUGCGUUUUAUUCCAGGUUGUGUGGACCAUUGGAGGAAAAGCCGGCAUUUAAACCCAGCUAUCAGCGCAGUCAGGGUCUGACCCUCAGUGUCAGCCAGGAAAGCCAGCUGCGGGAGCUCAGCACUGAGUCGACACUCAACAAUGUUUUAUUGCACCAUCUGGAUGCACUCACGUGCCCUCUCCUGUGUUUAGAAACACGGAGAUACGUGCGCAGCAAAGGACGGCACGAACAAGUAUGUGCCCUUCCCGAGGAGUGACAGAACGGUUGAGCUGGCCGGUGCCACAGAUCGCGGUCACUUCCAUCCAGAUUUCAGGAUGAGCAGAGACGUGUUCGGCCUCGUAGUCUGGGAUUUGUGGUUCUGGGAGGUUUUGUGUGUCUCUUGAAGGUGUCGAACUACGUACGACUCUGGGCGGACACCGCUAGUGACUUUUUUUUUUUUUUCCCCGCUAGUGACUUUGUAGACAGUGCCCCUUACCCAUUCUGUAUGGAGAUACAUAUGUCUAAUGUGGAAUUCCUGUCAAAGGCUUUACACUUUAAAGAUUUUGUUUAAUACUUAUUUUCAAAUAUUUGGUUGCGUGCUAGAUAUCUGCUCCUUACAAUCAAAACGUUUCUUGGGAUUUUGAGCCUUAAAAUUUUUCUUUGUUCGAUGGCUUGGGAUGUAGUCUACGAUUGUCUGCGUGCUUUAGAAAAACCACAGGCUGGGGGGUGGGG
rnacentral:lncRNA from 1 species